UACGUAGGGCGCAAGCGUUAUUCGGAAUUAUUGGGCGUAAAGGGCGCGUAGGCGGCUUGGCAAGUGGAUGGUGAAAUCCCUCGGCUUAACCGAGGAACUGCCAUCCAGACUGCUUUGCUUGAGGCCGGGAGAGGUGAGUGGAAUUCCCAGUGUAGCGGUGAAAUGCGUAGAUAUUGGGAGGAACACCAGUGGCGAAGGCGGCUCACUGGACCGGUUCUGACGCUGAUGCGCGAAAGCGUGGGGAGCAAACGGG
rnacentral:rRNA from 1 species